AGGUAACGUGAGGGAGGAAAGCUGGCCGCACCACAGAACUUACUGAACAAGAGAGGAGAACCAAGACCUCAGCAGGACUCUGACCAAGGAGACAUACAGGCUUCAGUUAACUUCAGGUUGUCCUGGAAACAGGAUUCCAAUCGUUAUAAUAAAAUCAUGUGCUAAUAACAAAAGCAAUAAUUAGAUCUGGAUUCACACACAGACUCAACUCCGUCAUGGGAAAAGAUCCUAGAGGAGCUUAAAUACAUUUUUGCCUGAGGUAAAGUCCUAACGAGGAAGGAUUAAAGAAUGAAAGAGAUGAGUUGGAGUGUUGUAUUCAGGAAUAUGGCUACCUGAACAUGGCUAUGCUGCUUCUGUUGCCACUGACCCAGCCGCCACCCGCUCUGUGCAGCAGAAGCGGCCCACAAGGAGCUCAUCCUCUGGGCGUCCUGUGUGAUUAGGCACGCAGUUAAAGAACUCUUCACUCACUGGUCCUCCUCAUUACUGCCCUCAAGGCCUUGCUCUCUGGGGAAGGAGAAAUUAAGGGUCAGUAAAUUUAUCCUGAAUCCUCACAAGAACCCUGUAAAUCCCAGCACUCGGGAGGCUGAGGUAGGAGGAUUGCCAUGCGUUCGAGGCCAGCCUGGGCUACACAGUGAGUCCAGGCCAGCGCGAACUAUGCUGGGAGACCCCAUCUGAAAGUAAAAAGGAACCGUAUGAAUUAUAUCCUAUCAUCACCAUCAUCUUCAUUUCACAUAUAAGUUGUAUCUCAGUCCGCUAAUGAUUUUGUUUGUGAACAAUUUGGUUCACAAAGACAAGCAUUUAGCAAAAUUUUGUUCUUGUUUGUGCACCUUGCGUAGGGCGAUGAACGUGACCAUGGCCAUCUUUCUCACAGGAACGUGAACAUGACCAUGUGUUCCAGCACGGCAGAAGGAAUUAAGUCUAUGAACCGAGGUACCGCAGUAUUUCACAGUGGACCGGGACAGGAAGGAACAGCACCACAAGGGUCGGCUUCUCCAUGCAGGGAUGUCAUCCGUAACUGCUGCAGUUUUAACAUGUGGCGAGGGAGCCAAGGAGACGAGCAAAGGAAUGAGCACACGAAGGAGAAAGGAGUGAAUGGAUCAAAAGGAGAAGGAGCUCUGUGGACGGGGCUCUCCUUCCUCACGGAGAAGCAAUAUGGAGGCACCACAACAGGGGAGAAAUACAAAGACACAGUAGUAACAGAGAGGACACAGCUCUGCUUUUGUAUCCUGUGUUGGUGUUUGUUUUGUUUUUUAAUGAAGAAUUGCAUGAACAAGAACUGGACUCUGUGUUGUCAGAACAAACCACUGACUCACCCUCCAUCUCAGAAUCAUAAUCUGGAUUUAAAAAAAUUAAUACAAAGAGAAGUACAAAAGAAAAAACAAUACCAAAUGAUAUAUAUCCUUACUUGGUGUGGUGGGCUGACAACUGGUCAUCAACUUGUAAGCCCCAGCUGAACUGAAUCAGCAUGCUGCUGGGUGUGGGAGGCACCUGGGGACUGUUGCCAGCAGCAUAAAAGGCAGAGCUGGAAAGAAAGAAGUGUGGAGGCUGCUGGGAGCUGGUAGAAGCUGUUGGGAGCCUACUGGAAGUGGAGAGAAGCUCUAAGGAGCUGUUGGUUCUCUUGGGGGAGCUUGUCUGCUGGCUUUCCGCUGAACUCAGCUGUUUUCAUUGUCCGAGGAGUGCAGGACCCUUGUUGUCACUGAGAAUGGCUUCGGUUCACUUUGGGGGAGCUCUGGUCCUCACUUUGAGCGUCACUUCCUGACUCCAGAAGAGAAGAUGGUGCACUGCUCAGUCUCCUGGAGAAGGUUGUCGCGUUGGCUUCCCUGAUGGGAGCUCAGCUGUCCUCAUCACUGGAAGAGCUUGAGACUUCUCUGUUGCUGAGGAUGGCUGUGGUAUUUUCAGGGGACCUCUGGAUCUUACUUUGAGUGUUGCUUCCUGGCUCCAGUGCAGAUCCCUCAGCACGCUAGCACAGAUCAUUCGUAUCUUUGGCAUAGACCUUCUAGCUUCCACCACUGACCUUUGGCCUAUCCCAGCACAGAUCUGUGAAACAGGCCUGCAUGAGACAUUGUCAUGGGCUCUAGGCCUCCAGAUGGACUCACUGAAGUUAUUGUUAUGGGCUCUAGGUCUUCAGCAGGACUCAUGUAGGACAUUACCAUUAGAUCCAGGCCCUCAGCUGCAUUCUUUGGUCUUUAGUGUGUGGACAGAUUUCCUGCAGUCUUUGUAUGUGAAUCUUUAGGUGACUAUUACAAAAUAAUCUCAUAAAAUAUGUGUCCUGUAUUAUAUUGUUUUCCUUGCAAAAAUCCCAAACCACAACACUUGGCUUUGCAAUUCAGUCAGUCACAUAAAUAGAGAGACCAAGGCCUAGUAUUUGAGUGACAUUUGAAUAGAUAAGAUAUUAGAUGAACAAGAUUAUGCUGAAGUAAUGAAAACCUUGACAAAAAAGAAAAUGCAGGGGGCUUGAAGGGGGCUGGUACUGGGAAUUGAACCCAGGGUCUUCAAACCGAGCUACAUUUUCAACCCCUUUUAAAUGUAGUUUUUUGUUGUUAUUUUGGGUUUUGCGGGGGAGUUGGUUUUGUUUUAUUUUGUUUGGGGUUUUUUUUGCAACAGGUUGUCCCUAAGUUGCUCAAUUGCCAGGCUGGGCUUGAACUUGCCAUCUACCUGCCUCAUCCGCCCAGAGAGCUGGGAUAACAGCUGUCACCACAAUGCCCUCCUAGAAAAUGCAGUUUUUAGUAAUAAAGUGACUAUUUUCUUUACAUUUUCAUGGUCUAGAAAUGAAGAUUUUUCUCCCAAAUAAUAUGCAUAUUUAAUGUAAAAGCUUUACUUUUCCCCCAAUAACUUGUAUUAACUUGUUAGUAUAUUUUAUAAGUCAUGUUAUCUUGGAGCUAAUUAAAUUUGGAUAAUUUAAUACUUUGAACUUUGAAUCCAAAAUUGGAAUAGUAUAAAUCCAUCUAGGGAAGCCUCUGUAGGUUUGAAAUAAUUUUUCUGCUUCUGCUGAAAUUUUCUCCUUUCAAAGUGUGUUCCUUAUGUUCUGUGAGGGAGAGAAAAUGUCCUGAUUGAAAAAGUAGUGAAGUAUGUUGGACUUUUUCACCCUCUCACUUGAUUCUUUAAAAACAUGGGCCUUAAGUAAAUACUAAAAGGCUUAGAAAG
rnacentral:lncRNA from 1 species